rnacentral:rRNA from 1 species
UACGGAGGGUGCAAGCGUUGUCCGGAAUCACUGGGUUUAAAGGGUACGUAGGCGGCGCGUUAAGUCAGUGGUCAAAUCCAACGGCCCAACCGUUGACCUGCCAUUGAUACUGGCGCGCUUGAGUACCGCAGGGGCAGGCGGAAUUUGUGGUGUAGCGGUGAAAUGCAUAGAUACCACAAGGAACCCCAAAAGCGAAGGCAGCCUGCUGGGCGGUAACUGACGCUGAUGUACGAAAGCGUGGGGAUCAAACAGG